UACGUAGGGUGCAAGCGUUGUCCGGAAUUAUUGGGCGUAAAGAGCUCGUAGGCGGUCUGUCGCGUCUGCUGUGAAAACUCAGGGCUUAACCUUGAGCUUGCAGUGGGUACGGGCAGACUAGAGUGCGGUAGGGGAGACUGGAAUUCCUGGUGUAGCGGUGAAAUGCGCAGAUAUCAGGAGGAACACCGGUGGCGAAGGCGGGUCUCUGGGCCGUAACUGACGCUGAGGAGCGAAAGCAUGGGGAGCGAACAGG
rnacentral:rRNA from 1 species